rnacentral:rRNA from 1 species
CAGUAGCGUAUAUUAACGUUGUUGCAGUUAAAAAGCUCGUAGUUGGAUUUCUGGCUUUGGUUGCCUGAUCCGCCACGGUUACGUGGGGAGAAUCGGUGUGACUGAGCCAUCCUUCCGGGGAACUCGUCUGCUCUUCAUUGAGUGGGCGAGCCACUCGGAUCGUUUACUUUGAAAAAAUUAGAGUGUUCAAAGCAGGCUUUCGCCUUGAAUACAUUAGCAUGGAAUAAUAACAUAGGACUUGGGUUCUAUUUUGUUGGUUUCUAGGACUGAAGUAAUGAUUGAUAGGGAUAGUUGGGGGUGCUAGUAUUGGGCGGCCAGAGGUGAAAUUCUUGGAUUCGCUCAAGACUAACUUAUGCGAAAGCAUUCACCAAGGAUGUCUNCUUUAA